rnacentral:misc_RNA from 1 species
UCCGGUUUGUCACCGGCAGUCCCAUUAGAGUGCUCAACUGAAUGUAGCAACUAAUGGCAAGGGUUGCGCUCGUUGCGGGACUUAACCCAACAUCUCACGACACGAGCUGACGACAGCCAUGCAGCACCUGUGUCCAGGUUCCCUUUCGGGCACCCCACCAUCUCUGGGGGGCUCCUGGCAUGUCAAGGGUAGGUAAGGUUUUUCGCGUUGCAUCGAAUUAAUCCACAUAAUCCACCGCUUGUGCGGGUCCCCGUCAAUUCCUUUGAGUUUUAACCUUGCGGCCGUACUCCCCAGGCGGUCAACUUCACGCGUUAGCUGCGGCACAGAGCGGGUUGAAGACCGCCCCACACCUAGCACUCAACGUUUACGGCUGGGACUAC